rnacentral:rRNA from 1 species
UACGUAGGGUCCAAGCGUUAUCCGGAAUCACUGGGCGUAAAGCGUGCGUAGGUGGGUGUUUAAGUGAGAGGUUAAAUCGUGUAGCUCAACCAUAUCGAUGCUUUUCAUACUGGGCACCUAGAGGACAGCAGAGGCAAGUGGAAUUGGUAGUGUAGCAGUGAAAUGCGUAGAUAUUACCAGGAACACCAAUGGCGAAGGCAGCUUGCUGGGCUACUCCUGACACUGAGGUACGAAAGCGUGGGGAGCGAACAGG